CCGGCGAGGUGAUAUGAACCCUUGACCCGGCGAUGUCCGAAUGGGGAAACCCAGUGCAAUCCGUUGCACUAUCGUUAACUGAAUACAUAGGUUAACGAGGCGAACCGGGGGGGAACUGAAACAUCUAAGUACCCCGAGGAAAAGAAAUCAACCGAGAUUCCCCCCAGUAGCGGCGAGCGAACGGGGAGCAGCCCAGAGUCUGAAUCAGCUUGUGUGUUAGUGGAAGCGUCUGGAAAGUCGCACGGUACAGGGUGAAAGUCCCGUAACACGAAAAUGCACAGGCUGUGAACUCGAAGAGUAGGGCGGGACACGUGGUAUCCUGUCUGAAUAUGGGGGGACCAUCCUCCAAGGCUAAAUACUCCUGACUGACCGAUAGUGAACCAGUACCGUGAGGGAAAGGCGAAAAAGAACCCCGGCGAGGGGAGUGAAAAAGAACCUGAAACCGUGUACGUACAAGCAGUGGGAGCACCUUCGUGGUGUGACUGCGUACCUUUUGUAUAAUGGGUCAGCGACUUAUAUUCUGUAGCAAGGUUAACCGUAUAGGGGAGCCGAAGGGAAACCGAGUCUUAACUGGGCGUUAAAGUUGCAGGGUAUAGACCCGAAACCCGGUGAUCUAGCCAUGGGCAGGUUGAA
rnacentral:ncRNA from 1 species